UAUUAAAAAUUAGUAUUUAAAGUAAUAACUUAAAAAAAAAUAUCAAAAAAUAUGAUAUCAAUUGAAUUAUAUAAAGAAUCUCAAAAUGAGAAUACUAAAUGGAAGUCAUAAUAUUUUAGCUCUUUAAAUAUAAGAAAAAUUGCUUGAUUUUUAAGAGUCAUUAUAGAAGAGAAGAAAAAUAUAUACUUAUAUGAUAAAAAAAUAAUUUAUUAUUAUUAUUUUAAAAUAAUAAUUUGACUAAAAUAUAUUUUUUAAGAAAGGCUUAGAAUGUCUUUGAACUUAGGAGAAAAGGUCAAAAGCUAAAUCUUUUAGGUUCUUUGAUUAAAAUUAAGAAGCCUAAAUUAUUUGAUUUUAUACUUAGAAAAAUCAAUCUCAAAGGAUAAGAAAAUACAAUAGAAUAUUAUAAUUUUAAUUAGCAUGAACAAAAUUUGUUCCUUAAAAUAUUUGAUAGAUUCAUCUCGAGAAGUGGUUUCUAAAUAUAUAUAUAUAUAUAUAUAUAUAUAUAUAUAUAUAUAAUUUUCUAAAAAUAAUUUAAAAUAAAGUAUCUCUAAUUCUAUUUAAUGAUUUUUGUAAUUGCUAGAUAGUAUAUUAACCAAUAGAUUUAAACUUAUAAUAAAAAUAAAUUAUUUUAUUCAUUUUAUAACUUCUUUUUACUUUAUACCAUCUCUAAAAACCAAAGCUUUUGAAGAGAAUUUUUUUUUACCACAAAAACCUUUCAAAGACUUUCGUACCAUAGCAUUUCAAAGUUGGGUUUAAUAUAUAAAACCCCCUUAAAACAAGUUAAUUCUUUUUAUAAAUAAAAAUUUAAAAAUCAUUUUUUUAAUCUUUUGUAUUAUUUGCUACGAGAAUCGAAGUCAAAUUAUAAAUAUUCAUCAUUAAUGACACUUGUAAAAUACUUGUUAAACAACAAAUACUUUGAUAAAAACGAAUUGAUGAAAAGGUAUUGCAAAAGCUCCUCCGGAAUGGUGAAAGGGUCACAUACAUGUCGUUAAGGA
rnacentral:lncRNA from 1 species